rnacentral:rRNA from 1 species
UAUACAUGCAGUCGAGCGAACAGAUAAGGAGCUUGCUCCUUUGACGUUAGCGGCGGACGGGUGAGUAACACGUGGAUAACCUACCUAUAAGACUGGGAUAACUUCGGGAAACCGGAGCUAAUACCGGAUAAGAUUUUGAACCGCAUGGUUCAAUAGUGAAAGACGGCCUUGCUGUCACUUAUAGAUGGAUCCGCGCCGUAUUAGCUAGUUGGUAAGGUAACGGCUUACCAAGGCAACGAUACGUAGCCGACCUGAGAGGGUGAUCGGCCACACUGGAACUGAGACACGGUCCAGACUCCUACGGGAGGCAGCAGUAGGGAAUCUUCCGCAAUGGGCGAAAGCCUGACGGAGCAACGCCGCGUGAGUGAUGAAGGUCUUCGGAUCGUAAAACUCUGUUAUCAGGGAAGAACAAACGUGUAAGUAACUGUGCACGUCUUGACGGUACCUGAUCAGAAAGCCACGGCUAACUAC